rnacentral:lncRNA from 1 species
GUUGUUUACAAUAGAAGAGGUACGGCACAGCACGUGCGCAGAUGAGCUCUCUCCAACAGACCCAACUCGGCGCUCCACUAGCGGCAUAUGAUCAGAGAGCUUUGCGAGGAAGUACCGAAGAAACGUGUUAAAGAAACGUGUUAUUCCAAUUUGGACGACGUUACCAUGAAGGCCGUUCUGCUUUGCGCAAUGGCGCUUGCCGUCCUGCAGACCGUCUUCGCCCAACGGGUAUAUGUGGCGAGGGCGAGGUCUGGAAGACUGGUCAGAGCAGCAGCUGUGCUGAGAACAAGUGUGGACAGCAAGUGACCGUACUGAGGCCUUGCACCCUGGACUACACCAGCGCGUGCUUUUGCCAGCCCCACCUCUUCCGGAGAGCUAGCGACAGGAAGUGCGUGCGCUUGCAGGAAUGCUGAGUCACGACGCUGUUCCAGGUAGCGGUGUUACUCCUCGUCAACGUGCGGGCUGCUGAAGAGUACCAAUAAAGAACAAAACAAACCUCACA